rnacentral:lncRNA from 1 species
UAUGAAUGUUAUUGUGGGUACAACUAUUGGGACAUUGUAGCAUGUGUCAAACCCUCCUAGGGAUGUCACUGUGAGCUUUGGCCCAACUCUUCGCCGGAACUCGUCUCUCACCGCGACAUAGACCGGGGCAACCAGCCGAGUAAACACGGUACCUGGUAAUGUUUAACAAUAAAUACAAAGAAUUAUGAUAUGAUUAUGGUAACUAGAAUUUCUAUAUGUUGUUCUAUAACAAAAUAAUGCAUUUAAGUAAAUAUUAGAACUUUCAAUUGAUUUUCUUUCUUCAAAAAAAUUUGAAUCAAAUAUUCUACGUGUUAGACAUCUAAGAGUAUAUUUUUAUGUUGGACUAGGUAAAAGUGUGUUACCUGAAUCAAAGAUGGUACCGGCUCCAGUGGUCGGAUUAAAAGCCAAUGCGGCUGGUGGAAUAUCGACGACUUUUCGGCCAACCCUAAUUGCUUCCAAGUUAACAUAAUAGAGUGAUGAUCGUCUAGGGUUUUUGAGAAGAGGGGUAUACUUAAUCCUCUUGGGCUGAGCAACAGGUCCAAGUCUCAAAGAUCCAGAGAAGUUAAGAGACUUGAAACUUGGCAAGCAGUAAGAGAAUGUGGACUGAUAGAGGUUUUGGGUUUGAGACAAAAGUGACAACGGGCCUCGGCCCAAGCCCAAUAGACCUUGUGGUGGGGCAGAGGUGCCUGUGGUUUUUGAAACACAACCGAAUGUGUAGCUAGGAACGGGGUCAGUGGCUAAGGUAAUAGUGUCUUGUACCAAGUUAGCUGCAAUAGAGGAACUGCCAUAGGUUAGGUUGAAAUUGCAUGAGCUCACACCACAACCAGGGUUAGGUACCUGAAAAAUGAAACAAAAUAAAAUGUUUACAUUAAUACCAAUGUUUCAAAAAUGAGAUAGGAGAAUGAAUUAAUAAGACUGAUCAUGGUUCAAUCCAUUCAACUGUUAUUAGACCAGAAUAAACCAACCAAUGUAUUAAUCGAUUUUUGAAUUUUUCGUCAUCUACAAUUCAACCGACUCAACCUAGUUCAAUCUAAUUCAACUAGAAUUCAAUUCAAUCUAUUCAACUCAGUUCAAUCUAAUUUAACUAGUAGAAUUUAAAACAGUCGAGAAUAAACCAACUGAUAAAUCGGUCAAUUUUUAUUGACCGAUAAAUACGACUGUUUCAAUCCAAUUUUUAAACCAUGAUUACUUCAUUGGAAAAAGUGCAUUUAGAUUUUAGAAGACUCCAAGUCUCGUGAACCUUUGCCUGCCAUAGAGAGCACAUAGCUUUCAAUAUUUUGGAUUCAUAGAUUGGGCUAGGAUAUAAGUCAACCCCACCUACAAUGGGACAAAAGUUGCACGUUUCAAUGGAGUAGCACUUGGGUGCCAUAGUUUUUUGGUGCCAUUGGUGCCAUAGGUAACUUUGUGUCUAUCUCUCUCUUAACAACUCAUUCUCUCUCAUCUAAAUAAUUUAUUUUAAUCAUUCUCUUUCAUCUAAAAUGAACCUAUGUCACCAAUGGCACCAAAAAACUAUGGCACCCAAGUAUUUCCCGUUUCAAUGUGAUCAAAUAAUCUCUCCUUGUAGUCCCUUUCAUUGUGAAACUAGUAAUUACCCUUCAACGGCAAGUAAAGGUAAAAGAUUCGUGCCAAGCUGUAUGUCAUGUGAACUUUUGUCCAAGUAAAGAUAAUUUAAGUACUUUGUCUAAGAUAAUUUAAGCUCUAUCACAAACCUAUUUUUUUUUGUUACAACGAUGUAUAAUACUUUUUCCGAUCACAUUUAUAAAUAUUUUUGUUUUUUUGAGAUUCAUUAAAUAACUGAUGUAUUUUUUUUUUUGAAACAUAAUAACUGAUGUAUCUGAACCUUUCAAAAAAACCUGAUGUAUCUAAAGUAUAUUAUAAUCCAAACACAUCAGUUAUUUAAUAAUAAUAAAAUUGCUUAUAAAUGCGACCAGAAAGAUAAUUCUUUAUCUUUUAGUCGAUCAAUUUAGUUUUACAAUUGUCACGUAACAAAGUGACCAAGUAUUUUAAUAAUUUUUAGGGAUCAUUUAAAAUUUCCAUUAAUUUGAAGAGUUUAAUUGGCUCACUUCUACACUAAAUAUCAUGUAGUGAUUCAAUAAUUUUAUUGGCAUCCUCAAAACAAAUCUUUCACCAGUUCAAACAAAUUUUUAUGUACACUUCACUAGAGUACAAAAACAUUCACAGUAGUGAUGUGUACAUUGUGGCAUUUGAGGUCACGUGAUUCUUUUAAAUUUUAAAAUAGAAAUAUGACAAUCGACAAAAUAAGGAGUAUCUUUGGAUACUGAUUACAAAAUAAAAAUAUAGUAUCUUAUGUUAUGAUGCUGAUUACGAAAUAAAAAACUGUAAAGUAUUCAAAUCACAUCUUUUUUUAAAGUAUCAUCAUAUAUUAAACAGAUUACCUUUUUCAACAAAUAUUUCACAAUUGUUGUGAUUUUAAUAAUGCAUAAUCCACUAGCUAGUUAACAAAACAUGAAAACCAUGAAUAGAUUUUGCAUAUAAUCAAAAAUCAAAAUAUUUCAAUUUUUAAUGAAGGUACUAGCAAAUUAUUAGAAUAAAUACCUUGGAGUAAAAAUAACUCAUUGCACCGAAAAAAAUGUUUAUGAAGAAAAAGGCAUAGAAUCAAAAUAAAAAAUAGGUGUGAGAGCUUGGAAAUUGAAAUCAACUCAGAUUUUUAAAUUAGGGUUUGCAAACAAUUAUAGCAACAUUAUAAAGUUUUAGAUGUCUUAGCAACAUCGUGACCAUAAUUGCAAUUGCAUCAUUUGUAUCGUGUCACCAUAUCAAAGUCACGACCACAACCACAAUUUAAAACCAUAAUUUUCUUUCAAUGUUUAGAUUCGCGGUGAUGAGAUUACCAGAAUUAAGAUGAACCUUCGUAAUUUUUUAACAAAAACUACAUUUUAAAGUUUCACGAAAUCAUAGUACUAUCAUAAUUUUAUCAAAUGCAAGCCAAUAUAAAAAUAUACCUAGUCACGAAAACCAUGACAAAAAAAUGUGUCUUUGUUAGUGAAGUAAAUACCUGUUUGCAUUCAGGAGCAGCACAACUAACAUUCUUAAAUGUAGUUGAUUUUUCAGGAGCAAACAAAGUUGAAGCACAACCAUCACAAGCAGUGCAAGGAAUCCAAGCAGCAUCAUUACUAGUAUCCAUAGCCAAAAGCAAAGUUUGAGGUGGAGUACCAAUUUUAGCCCUUACAAUGUAAGUUGGACUCUGUAUGAUCUGUCUACCAGAAGCAAUAGGUACAACUGAUUUUCUAGCUACCAAACUAUCAAGGAAUUGAAGUCUAGUUGUGUCUUUGGCUUGCAUUUGGAGGACACUUUCUUCCCAUGAAAGUGGCUUGAUGGCCUAAAUGGGGAACAUGGGCUGAACACAUGGAUUACUUGGAGUGUUGAACCAUUGUCUUGGACAUCACAUUUGGGGUUUAGUCCUUGGACUAGGGAGAGGGAUAGGAACAAGAGGGAAAGUGUGAGUUUCAUGGUUGUUUUGUUAUGGAGUGGUUUUGGUUCAUUCACUUGACUUAGUUAGUACUAUAUAUAGUAAAAGAAAGGGCAGAGACCCAAAUUGGUCUUUUGAAAUAAAGUGAACUGAUAUUCCCUUCCUUCACAAAAAUUAGGUGUUUGUGUCUCACAUCUUAAUAAGUUUGCCAGAAUUAUGAAGAACCACCGUGAUUUUAUAAAAGUUACAGAGUGAUGUUUAAAAUUAAUGUAGCUUUGACAAAAUCACGAUGACAUAAUUUAGCUUUUACUUAAGUUGUAGUGGUCCGCCGUAAUUCUACCAUACUCACAUACAAUCCGAAUUUGCAUAAAGUGUAGUUUUUGUAAAAUCAGACAACUCAUCAUGACUUUAGAAAACAUAUUGUGAUAUCAAACAUAUGCACUCUACAUAAUUCGGUUUGGUCAUUGAUGAAAAACACAAUUUUUGGUCUAUGACAAAAAUAAAAUUAGGACACGACAAUCAUUUUUUUUUUUUUUUUUUGUAGAUAGACGAAAUGACAAGGCCAUUAUAAACUCACAUAACAAGUAGAGGCGCCGGGGUUCGAACCCUAGUCAUGGCGUCCGACCUAAUAAUUUCGACAUUUUACUAGUUGAGCUAAAACUUCUAGACAACUAUCAGAUGUUCAAAACAACUAUUUUGUGUGUGAUUUUUGAACAAUGCUAAUGUGUGCAAUUUCACACAUGUCACCUUGACCGACGUUACAUCGAAGACAAAAGGGACAAAUUGAUCCAUUUGAUAACAAUAUAAGGGAACAAUUUAGUUCCUAACUACAUCACAUUUUAAAUUUAAUUUUUAAGAGAAUUAAUUUUGUCAUUAAAAAAAAUUAAUAGUGCCACUUAUUGUUUGUUUCUCUUUCAUUCAUGUGUAAUUUUCUAUAUAUAUGUAAAUAUAAAUAUUUGAUCUUAUUCCCAUGAGCUUAGCUCAGUUGAUAGGGAUACCGCACUUCUCCACAAUUAAAUUGUGUGAAUUCUAACCAUUAAACUUCUUAAUAAAAAAAAUAUAUUUGAUCCUUAGAAAAAAUAUAUCUGGUGUAAAUUUCAUCCAUUAGACUUCUUAAUAAAAAAAUAUAUUUGAUCCUUAGAAAAAAUAUAUCUGGUGUAUAUUUCAUUUUCUUCCUACUUGUUCCUUUCCACCCUCCAUUGAAAGAACAACCAUGAUGUGACUUUAUUAUUUUAUGAAUCAAGCAGGCAUGAUAUUGAUGUGAGUUGGAGUGAGAACUGAGAGUGAUGAUAAAAUCAUAUAUGUAUGUUGAAAAUACACACAAGAGUUAUAAUAGACAAUUCCUUGGGUACUGUUCUUAUUUUCUGGUAAUCUUAUUUUGUUGAUUUUGAUUUUCAAAGGGUUGCUAUUUAUAGCAUUGAAGUUCAUCCAAAAUAGUUUUUAAAAAAAGUUCAUCUAAAAUCAUAUGCAUUUUACUACUACUCACGGUGAAUACGAAAAUGAUUUUUGUAUAACUUUUUGAGAACCUAAUUUGGUUCUUGCACAUGUGGACGUUGCACACAUCUGAUUUCGUCAUGAUGACCACCACUCGUCAAUGGAACUUUUCUAUUGUGAAUGCCCAAACAAAGAAUGUUAGGAAUUCUAUAGUUAGGAUACAAAAAUAAUCCCGCUCUUCACCCUGCAUUUUUCACUUGCGCCCUGCAGCCAUGACCAAAAUAUCCCUGCGCUAAUUAACUAACGCAAGUGUAAAAAUAAGGGACUUAGUUUUUACAUAUGCGUGACUUAAGUCACACUGCUGAGUUAACUCACGCAAGUUACAAAAUUGCAAAGUUGCAAAGCACGCCUGGAAUGUUUAAAGCAGGUUGGUUCAUUUAAUUUCAUGCAGCGUGACUUAAGUCACGCAUGUGUAAAAACUAGGUCCCUUAUUUUUUUACACUUGCGUUAGUUAACUAGCACAUGGGUAUUUUGGUCAUGACUGCAGGGCACGAGCGAAAAGUGCAGGGUGGAGAGCAGGAUUCUACAAAAAUUAGGAUAGGAUAGAGUUCGGGUAUGCUCCAUUUAGGGUUUGAAUGUAAGACAUGUGACAAAAAAAAUAUCUAACGGUUGAGAUUUUAAAUUAAAAAACAAUAAAAGAUUGUUGCGAUAUGAGAGAAGAAGGGAACUCGAUUUGUUUGUUAUUAUUAUGUAUUUUUAGUAAACAAAUAUUUGUUUUUUAAUUUAAAAUCUCAACCGUUAGAUAUUUUUUUGCCACAUGUCUUGCAUCCAAACCCUAAAUGGAGUAAAUGAAGCUUAGCCUAAAUGGAGCAUACCCGAACUUGGAUAGGAAGAUGAUGGUACUAAGAAUAAAGAAGAGUGCUUUUAGUAAAAAAUAAAAAGAGAGAUGCUAAGUUUUGUUCUCUCCCACAUAUUUUUUAUUGGGUCACUAUGGCUACAAGCCUACAACUUCGGUUUUUGUGAACGGCAGUCCGAUUGAAGAGUUUAAGCUAGAAAGAGGUCUAUGGUAAGGUGAUACCUCUUUCAUCUUUCCUGUAUGACGAAAACUUGUGGAACUACCUAAAAUGCCUAGUGUAGUUGGGUGUAGGAUCUUUAAGAGGGCAGAAGACAUUAUGAGGGUUGAAAAUGUAAAUUUGUAAACUUGUGCGGCUACAUAGUGUAGUUGGAUGCAAGGAUAAGGAUCAGACUUGGAAGCUUAUGGGACCGACAAGGGUGGUUGGAUGCAAGGAUAAGAAAGAAGGUGAUUGCAGAAUAAAUUGACAUCACUAUCAAUUUAAAGGCAAGGUGGAGAAUUACUUGAUGUGUCUUGAAAUCUUAUGUGAAUAUGAAAGUGUUCCAAUUCUGCUUAUCUCGUGACACAUAAAUAAAGACUUGCGACACAGAGGCACAAUUUUUUCUCUUUUCUUGGUCACCCAGUUUUAAUGGUUGAACAAACUCAAUAAAUACAAGCUUCAGGUUUUGGGUUUUUGUAAGUGUGUGGAAAGAAAUGAAACUUGGGGAACCAAAAGAGGAAUCAUUGAGAUGUGAGAUUUAGGCAAACUAAGGUUUACCAAAAAAGGAGAUCCUUAGAAAAUCAAAUGUCAAUCAAAUGCCAAUGAUCAGUUCCUUUUGAGGAUAGAAAUUAUAGUUGGGAAACAAUUGUGAACACCUUAGGUAGAGAAAUCAUUGAGUCUCUUGGCCACAUGAAGAAAUUCGAGAAAAUGGUAGAAAUUAAGGUCUGUUUCUAGAGAACUUGCUGAAAUUUAAUUUCUUCUAACCCUUGUUUCUCUUUGUAAAGAACUUUUUGAUAAUGAAUUUAAGAGAUCUUUCUCCCCUAUGGUAGGUCACUAUCAGAUCGAAUUCGGUAGCAAUAUUGUGCAUUCUUCCUCUUCUAUAAUACUUUAUUUUAUCAUAUCCUCCUUCGAUUCAAUUGUGGUUUUGCUGUAUAUUGUUGUUGAAUCUGUUGUUAUCGUUUGCGAUUGUUUUGGUUAUUAAUUACCGCUGACCCAUGCUUCACACAUCAAAAUAUCGGUGUGAAUUUUUUAUCUUAAUUCACAACAAAAUUACGAAGAGAAGAUUAACUCAAGGACAUUGUUGAGUUUUGACACAUUCAAAGCCUAUUUAGGGAUUAUAUUGACACUAGCUCACACAAUAUGAGGACAAAAUAUGCAUAUUUACUCCUCUCAAAUAUUUUGGGCUAAGAUAUUUUGGGGUAUGUGGGAGAGGAAGGAUGGGUAGUGGAAUGUGACAAAUGGACUUCAAUGGAGAAUAGUGGAAGAUAACAGACUGUACUCCAUUUGGUUUUGUAGGCAACUAUCUGCUUGGCCAAAAUCAAGUUUCAUAAAUUCAGCGUGUAAAUAGCACCUUCCAUUAUAUACUAUGAUUUUAGACAUGUAUGUUUGGAGGAAUUGAUUGAAUAAUUUUAAAAUAUUGCUCUAAAGAAAGCUAGUUUGUGGGCUAGAUAAUGGAAGAAGAUUCAAUACAUACUUUUAGGCUCUUAGUAUGAUUUCCAAGAGUAGUGCAGAAUCCUUUACUCACAUGGGAUAUCUAAUUGUCAACUAAUAAACUAGUUAUAAUAAAUCAAUAAAAUUUUAUCAUAGUGUGUAUUUGAAUAUACACCAGUGUUGAUGAUGCAGAUUGCUAGUAGGUGAUGUCAAUAAUAAAAGAAUACAAUUUAUAAGUAAUAACCAGCUAGAAUAAACUUAAGGGUAAAAUGUCAUAAGUCAUAACUUUAUCGGUGAAAAUGUCAAAAUUAUUAGAUUGGAUGGAUAUUGUGAUCAAAGUUUGAACCCUAUUUUUGUGAUGUGUGAGUUUUCAAUAACUAUUAUCAUUUCGUUUAUCUAACAAAAAUUAUAGACAAAUUUUUUUAACUUAAUUUAAAGUUUCAAACAUAUUAUAUAUAUAUAUAUAUAUAUAUAUAUAUAUAUAUAUAUAUAUAUAUGGGGUUUGCUAGAACACACCCACUAGUUUUUAUGUGGGAGUGUUUUAGCAAAUCUACACCUUAAGGUGUAUUUAACCACUUUUUAGUUAUUCACUUGCUAAAAUACUCCUUCUAAAAAAUAAGUUGGUGUAUUCUAGCAAAUGCCUAUAGGAUUUGUUAGAAGUUAGAACACACCCACUUGCUUUUUUUAGAAGGUGUGUUAUAGCAACAUACACCUUAAGGUGUAUUUAUUAACUUUUUAGUUAUAACUUGCUAAAACACUCUCACAUAAAUAUUAGUGGGUGUGUUCUAGCAAAUUCCUAUAUAUAUAUAUAUAUACAUAUGAGUUUUGCUAGAAUUAUUCUAUGAGCAUCUGUUAAAAGACACCAACUAAUUUUUAUGAAGGCGUCUUUAGCAAUUGCGAUCACAAUGUGAUUCUUGAUAUUACGAAAAAAUGACGGUCUCGAGUAGGUAAUUCGAUGAGUUUUUCUAUUUACACCCCAUGUUUUUCUGGUUACACCCAAAUUUUCUUAAUUUUUUUUUAUAAUACCAAAAUUGCCCUUUUAUAUAAUUUUUUUUAAAACCCUAAUUUUAUCCAUUGGUAGUGAGUUUCACCCUCUUUCACCCCACAAAACGAUCGAUCAAACAAUUUGAUGUUCAAUAUCAAUCUCCAUGAAAAUUAAAGAGUGAAUUCAAAUAUUUUUCAUCCAUACUCAAUUGGAUAUAAGUAAGUGAAUUUCUUCUUCUAUUUGCUAGUUUCAAUUUUUUCCUUCAACUGCAAUGAUGCACUGUACGAUUACGGUUUUAAUUUACAUUGGCAAGGUUAACUUAAAUUCAGUUUAAGUAGGUUCAUGUAAACUAAGUUUACAUGAACCUACUUAAACUGAGUUUACAUGAACCUACUUAAACUGAUUUUACAAAAUCGCAGAAUUGUGAAUCGCAGAACAAGGAAAACACAAAAUCUUUUAAGUUUACAUGAACCUACUUAAACUGAGUUUACAUGAACCUACUUAAACUGAUUUUACAAAAUCGCAGAACAAGGAAAACACAAAAUCAGAACUGAGAACCCAUAAUAAGAAAAACACAAUCGAUUGAAGAACAACACUUGCUAACCUGAUUUGCUUUGAAUUUUCUUUGAAAUCAUGAAUGGACGUGAGAAAGUAUGGUUUUGAAAAUCUUCGUAGAACACAAUCGAUCGAUUGAAGAAUUAUGGUUUUGGAAGAAGGGUUUUGGGGUGUAACCAAAAAAGAAGGAAUAGGCUUUUUGAAAAUCAAAUUUUAUGAAAGGGUAAUCUUGUUAUUUUGGGGUGCAACCAUGAUUAACUAGGGUGCAAGUAGAAAAACUCUAAUUCGAUUGGUGAGUUAAGGAAUAUCGAAUAAAUUCUAAGAAAUAGUAAAUUUGAGAUUCAAUAUUUAAAAAACUAACAAAACCACUUCCAUUUGUUUAUAAAAAAAAUUCGGAUUGUAAUACAUAACACAUUAAUUGUGGUUGCAGAGUUUAUUUAAAAGACUUGGUGUAUAUUUUUAUUUUUUUAAAGAAGAUAAACUAAUCCAUCAAAAUUAAUAUUCGGAGAAUAGAAUCAAAAACUUUAAAAAGAAAAAUACUUCAAAGAUUAAAGUCAACAUCAAUAAACCAACCUAAGUGGGUUAUAUACAGACCAACCUAAAUAGGUUACAUGGGGUAGAAGAUUGUCUCUAGUUUUUUCUCUCAUAUGUAAUCUAAGUCUGUGUAUGUAUAAAUAUUUGCCAGGUUUUCAUGAUGUAUAAGGAAAAAAAAGAUCAUAUAUAAUUCAUAAAUUGAAGAAGUCAAGCAAUUCCUUCCUGGAAGACAAAGCAAUGUUAUAGCUGGAAACCAGAGACCGUGAUUUCAGUUGAGUUGCUCUUGUCCCCUUUCAUUCUAUUCUUGGAUUUACCUUAUCACAGGUGGGGUUGCUUCAUCAGUUCAAUCAAUGUCACAAAUCAUAAAACAAACUCGGAUUAACAUAAACAUUCAAUGUUACCCUUCAACAAUGUUACCCAUUUAUUCAUUUUAAAAGAUAAUUUUUUUUUUGUCAACUGGUUUAGCGGUUAGAAUUCACCUUUUUCAAGAUGAAUAAGUGGGGUGUCCGAAGUUCGAACCUCGACCCCUGCAUAUAACAAUGCAUGUCCCUGUCAACUGAACUAUACUCACAAGAACAAAAAAAAUUGAAUUUCUAACCAUUACACCAAAUAAUAAAAAUAAAAAAUAUAAUUUUAAUUAUUACAAAGUCAUAACUUUCAUUAUGCAUCGACAAAGUUUUUUUUUUAUUGUACAAAUAUUUUCUGACCGACAUGACACAUGCUCUGGAAGGGUGGGAAUAUACUCAUAAGGUCAUGACUGAGUCUGAUAGGAUCUUUAUACUAAGACCAUGUACAAUGGUAAAUCAAAUUCAACAACCUUCAACAUCCACUUUUUCAAUUCCCAACACUCCACAUCAUUUUCUCUCUCUUAAUUCAACACCCUUUUAAUUUUUACCUCUCCAAUAGCUUUUUCAUUCAACACCCUACCCCACCACCUUUUAUUUCUUAUUCUUAUUUAAUUUUAUAUUUUUGUUUUUAUAAUUACAUAAAAUUACAAUUAUCGAUUAUAAUUAAAUUAAAAUGAAGAAACACUUAACAAUUUUUUUUUUUUGUAAAAACAAAAUUUAUUUAAAUAAUUUAUUUUUAUUUUCUUAACAUAAAUAAAAUGCAAUACAACAAACUAAAUAAGGGUCACACAAAUAGCUUAAAAUGCAAGACAACAAACAAACACACAACACACAUGUAAUUUAUUUCUGUGUCCAAAUCUAAUAAUAAGAUUAAGAGAGUGAAAAAUUUGAUUAUUUCUGGGAUCCAUUUCACUAAAUAAACACUAAAACUUCAAAAGAAAUGCUAAUACAAAGCUAAUAAUAAGAUUAAGAGAGUGAAAAACUUGAUUUUUUUUUCUGUGUCCAAAUCAAAUGAUUCAAGUCUCUAUUUAUAGAGAAAAAAAAAUUACGAAUUUUGGUAAAAAAAAAUAAAAUAAAAAUUAUUUGCAAUGAAAUAAUUCGAUCCAAAUUAUUAAGAAGAUAAAAAUCCGAGCAGCCAAUCAAAACAUGCCAAGUGUCUCCGUGGACCAUGCAUUCAACAUGUUGAAUUGUUUCAACACUUCCCUCCUUCAACUCACUUUUUUCCCAUUUCAACACCCCCCUACAAUGGUUCAACAAGGGUUCAACAUGUUGAAUGGCAAAUUCAACAUACCAUUGUAAAUGGUCUAAUCUUUAUUAUAAGAUAAGGUACGAUUUUUUAAUUUACAAAAUAAAGCUUUAGCACCAUGUCCCCCAAAUUGCAAAUUGAACCCAUUAUAAAGUACAUUUAAUUUAAGUGUAUUUUCGAGAAGGAAUUGAUAUGAAAUUUUUUAUGUUCAAAAAGCAUCCCUAAAUCUCAAGUAUUAGUGCAGAAAUGAUUAGACCACAAAAAGAUUUGUUCAAGAAAGUGUGUAUAUUUCUCAGGUAUCAUUACUUUGGUUUAAUUAAAAAUUACUCCCUCCGUCCCAAAUUGUAUGACGUUUUGAGCAUUUCACACAUAUUAAGAAAUGUAAUUAAUAUUGUGUGGGAAAGAGAUAUUAUGAGUUGUUUUACAAAAUUGUCCUCAAUAAAUGAUAUGGGAAAGAUAAAUGAAGGAAUUGAAAUAAGAAAGAGUAAUAAAUAGUUAAGGAUAUAAUAGGAAAAGUAACAUUAAUUUUUCAUUGGUAUUGUAAAGCAACAUACAAUUUGGGACAAAUAUUUUUUUUAAAGCGACAUACAAUUUGGGACGGAGGGAGCAGUACUUAUACAUACACAAUAGCGUAUUGUUUCUAGUGUAGGACCUCAGAAAUGGGACUUAACUCAUAUAAUUGUGAUGAGUUUAUUCCAAAAACUAAUUGUGUCGGCAUCAUGAAAAAUUCAAGAAUCCGAGACAACCACACAUAGAUCCCCACUAAGUAGACAAGUCGUAAACUUGUUUUGUAGGCUAUGAAUUUUAAUAACAGAAUUCAAAUCUUAUAAUUAGUGAAGUUUAAUAACAAAUCUGAUUAUUUUUAAGGGUUGUUUUGUUCAUUUCACUUUCAAAUAUUUUUUCCAUGAAUGAUGGAUUUUUAGAAUUUGGGUUGUGGCCAACUGAAUCCUUCAAUAUUGAUUUGUAAGAUUGAAUUGCUGCUAUUUAUAAAGUUAUAUCUAGAUCAAAUCUUAUUUAAUAUGUGACUCUUAAUACAUCCAUCAUCCACGGCCUCCAACAUGAUCUGAGUGCCCAUAUAGUGGUGAUGAACUAAAAUACGCUAUGAUACCAUCUUAGCAAUCUCAUAAAUUCUAAGCAGAGACGGAUGUAAUCCUUGUGGAUUGGGGGCAACUGCCUAAGUCUUUUUAUAACUAAUUAGGCUUAAUCUUAUAUUAUGCAAACAUUUCUUUCUUGUUGGAUAUUAUAAGUUUAAAGAAGACACACAAUAUGACCCUUGAUGAAUUAAGAGGACUAGGAGUGUAGUGUACCAAUGACAAAGUAAUUAAGAGGACUAGCAAGUGGACGGUGGGAUUGGUCCCCUCGGAUUAGUUGAUUCUUGGAUCGGAUACCGAGUUUUAAAAAAAAAAAAAAAUUAUAUUCUAGAAGAAAUUUCUUGUGAAAAGGUUUAACUUCAUGUGGGUAACCCCUUGCUUUUAAAGAUUAGUGUUAACAAGAGAACUGCAUUAGUAAACACAUGAUGGCUAUUUCUUCAUCCAUAUAUGUUUUCAGAAAUUUAAUUCGCAAUCAUUUUGUUGUGAUAUAUUGUAUUGUUGCUACUUGUUGAACUCAUGACAUCUUUACAGGUCAAGAAAAGGAAUCAAACUUCAAUGUAUUUGAAAUUAUUAGACUAGUAACUCCGGUUCGAAAGAAAACAAAUACAGGUCAAGAAAAUGAAUCAAACUUCAGUGGAUUGUGCAUACCUCUCCGACUGUAGAGCGACUACAGUACCUUUGUAUUUAUAAAACUUAGGGUUUGCAGAGUACAAUUUAUCAGAGCGGCUCAACUCGAGCGACUUGCCCACUUAUCAAUAAAUUAUGAGUCAUACUCAACAAAAAUCUACAAAAAGAUGGCGUUGUAGUGUCUCCAACAGAACUAGGCAGACUUUUGCUAUGCUCAACUAAAUUCUCGAGUGUUGCCAUUAUCGCUCUUCUGUGUUCCUUUCUGAAUGUGUCAAAUAUAGGAUGAAUUUGUCUUGGUUUCUGUGCAGGAUCUCUCUCUACAGAGGCAUGGAAAUUCCUUGAACAUCAUUUGGAUUUGCAGGGAAAAUCAUUGGAUGAAUCUACCUCUAGAUGAGCAAACACAAACCUAGCAUAAAUAUAAAUGGAGAUACCGUGUCAAGUUUAUUUAUAAUAGAAGAAAGAAGUAACUAGAAGCAACAAAAUUAUAUUAAAUCAUCAAAUUGACAUGCAUUUCAAUUUUCUUUCAUAAAUUUCUUACAAAUAGAACCAAGUUCUUCGGCCUUUGAAUUGAUGGAGCACAAAAGCUAAAAGUCUCAAACUACUAUUUAUGACACAGUUUUAUUAUCGGUCAGUCACUUUAUGAACCGCAUCUAUUACUUCCUCUAGAGGUCACAUAGUCGCAUUUAAGGAGAAAAAGGAACUGAUCAGUAGAAGGAUUAUAAGAAAAAGGAAAUUAUCAGUACCAGGAAGUUGAAACUUGAAAGAAUUGAUGAUGCAUUUUUCGGCAACAUGUUACAAUUUUCAAAGCAACUAAACUUGAUAGGACAAACUGAGUACAAAAAAUACCUGUGUCUUAUAUUCUAUCGCAGAAGCAUCUGUGCAAGCAAGGCAUCUGUGCUGUUAAUAUGAUUUCUCCUACUUUAAGAAGGAAUUGUAAGAUACAAAGCAUAUAGAAUUUGUAGGAAAUUACUCGCAUUUUAUGACCUGUCUCAUAUUACACAUUGUCUCAUACUUGAAAAACUUUGCAAAGCACCAUACUUUCUUGGUUGAUCAAAAUCAACUGCCAAAACAAACCAUAGUAUAAUUCCAAAAGGGAAACAAAUGUUAUAUAUCUUGUUUGUUGGGAAGAGGCUGCUGCACUUGAAACCUGAAAUAUUUAAUGAUCAUGCAUGUAAAACUCAAAGCGUAUGGGGUUGCCACACUAACCUUUAGGUUCGAUUCGCCCCCACCAAUAAAUGUAUAUUGGAUGCAAUAGGAAUGACCGGCGAAUCCCCUUCAGGAUACUAUGAGUUCCUUGACGUGUAUUGCACAACCACACCAAGCGUAUCUCCUAACAGUAUUUUACAGAUUUAUGGUUCCAGCAAUUCACUCAUGCAUUAGAGAAUUGAUGGAUGAUUUAGAAUAAUAGAAUGGUGAAGAAUUAUGUUGUUAAUGUAACAAAAUUCUGUCCAAAUUGUGUGUAGUUGUGUGGUUUUUUGUAUCUUCAACUAAUGCCCAAAUGUCAAGCAUUUAUAGUGCAUUAUAUGACUCUUCACAUGAGAGAAAACACCUCUUUAACUUGAAUCAAUGCCAUGAUUCAUUAAGCACCCUUUUGCCAAAGGUUAUAACCAUAUAUACUUGAAUCAAUGUCAUGGUUCAUUAUUAAUAAUAAAUAAUAAUGUUCCAAUGUAUAUGAAUGGUUCCCAUGAAGAGUUACAACUUUUGGUUCUAAAGUGAUUCCAUUAUUUUGGAAAUCACCAACAAUCCCCCACCAUUUUCAAAAUACUAAAUCAUAUAAAUCCGGAAAUUCCAUGCCUUCAGAUAAUGGUAUCUCGCGAUUUGAACCAUUACUUAGUAAGUUAAGUUUUCGCUCAUUCCCAAAUAGUAUGGUAGGCAAGCUUUGAACCAACUAUCCAUUAGAACAAGUGUGCAUAACUUACACAUAGAAUCUCGGUACCAUUGAUAAAGAGACUUGUAAGAUGACACAUUAAGAAGGCCUUGUGUCAUAUAUCCCUUUUCAUGAGAAUUUAAGAGUCAAGCCCUUGAACUCCGUGAAGCGGCCAAACUUCAUUCUCACAUAGGUAGACUAUAUCGGGAAUGCCCCAUAAGUAUGCAUUCCAGCAAAUAUAUGCUAUAUGUCCAUUAAGAGGAAAACCUCAUCCUACCUUUUUUCUUCUUAUGGUCCAAGUACUUUUACCUUUGGGAUGUAUCUAUUGUCAAGUACUACAAUUACUCUAAUAGUGUACUUUCACCAUUGAACCCAAGACUUGAUGCUACUCAAGUGUGGGUUGAGUUUCCACUAUUGGUAAUCAAUUAGAUAUGGGCUUGAGUCCCAUCCCCAAUGAUGUCUUCAACACCAUAUCCUUUGUCAGACCUUUCGUCAAAGGAUCUGCAAGAUUCUUCUCUGUUCUUACGAACAUGAUGGAAAUUAUUCCAUUAGAAAUCAAGUCUCUUACAUAGCUAUGUCUUAAACCAAUAUGCCUUGAUUUCCCAUUAUAAACUUGGCUAUAAGCUUUUGAUAGUGUGGAUUGACUAUCACAAUGUAUGGAUACUGGCGCCAUUGGCUUUUGCCAAACUGGUAUGUCAUACAAUAAAUUUCUUAGCCAUUCUGCCUCUUUACUCCCUGCAGCCAAUGCAAUAAAUUCUGCAGCCAUGGUGGAGUCGGCAAUGCAUGUUUGUUUCUUUGAACCCCAAGAAACUGCACCUCCACCAAGGUUGAAGAUCCAUCCACUUGUGGAAGCAUGAUCUUCAACAUACGUUACCCAACUAGCAUCUGUGUAUCCUUCCAAAACAGAAGGGUCUCCACUAUAUGUUAAACAAUAAUUCAUUGUUCCCUUUAAGUAUUUUAAUACUCUUUUCACAGCGUGCCAGUGUUCUUUACUUGGAUUGCUAGUAUACCGACUUAACCUUCCAACAGCAUAUGCUAUGUCAGGUCUAGUACAAGUCAUAGCAUACAUCAAGCAUCCGAUUACUUUAGAAUAUUCAAGUUGUGCCACAGGACAACCUUUGUUUGGUUGCAAACUGACAGCUUGGUCAAAUGGGGUAGAGAUCGGUUUACAAUCUAAAUGAUUGAAUUUCUGAAGCACCUUUUCUAUGUAAUGAGAUUGGGAUAAACCAAUAUGGUUAUCAUCUCUUAUGAUUUUAAUUCCUAAAAUCACAUCAGCUUCUCCUAAAUCUUUCAUAUCAAAAUUGUUGGAUAAGAAAGCUUUAGUUUCUUCAACCCCAUUUAUACUUGUACCAAAGAUCAACAUGUCAUCUACAUAUAAGCAAAUCAUGACACCUUUUCCAUUUGGAAUUUACUGUAAAUACACUUGUCAGAUUCAUUUAUGAUGUAUCCGUUGGCUAACACAACUUGGUCAAACUUUUGGUGCCAUUGUUUGGGUGCUUGUUUCAACCCAUAUAAAGACUUAGUUAAUUUACACACUUUAUCUUCUUGACCUUUGAUCACAAACCCUUCCGGUUGUUUCAUAUAUAUCUCUUCAUCCAACUCUCCAUUUAGGAAAGCAGUUUUAACAUCCAUUUGAUGGAUUACAAACUUAUGGAUGGAUGCCAGUGCAAUUAGCAUUCUGAUUGAUGCAAUUCUUGCAACAGGUGCAUAUGUAUCAAAAUAAUCAAUGCCUUCUUUUUGCGUAAACCCUUUAGCAACUAGUCUAGCCUUGAAUUUAUCAAUGGUACCAUCCACUUUCAUUUUCCUUUUAAAGAUCCAUUUACAGCCUAUCGGUUUGGAUCCGGGUGGGAGAUCUACCACUUUCCAAGUUUUAUUACCCAUAAUUGAAUCCAUUUCUUCUUGAAUAGCUUCUUUCCAAAAAGCUGAAUCUUAAGAUUUUAUAGCCUCUUCAUAUGUUACCGGAUCACUCUCAAGGUUAAAGCAAAUUGGUCCAUAACUAUUUAUGGAUUUACCUGUUCCUUCUACAAGAAACAUGAAGAAAUCAGAUCCAAAAUCUUUCUCUUUCCGGAUCCUCUUACUUCUUCUAAGUUCUGAACCAUCCAAUGUAUCUAUAUCAGAUUCAUUGUUUUCUAAAUUUUGAACAUUAGAAUGAACAAUAUCCUUGGGAUAAGAAAUUGAGUUAAAUCUAUCUUCUUGAAAAAUUGCAUCUCUUGACUCAAUUACUGUAUUAACAGAAUAUGAGUCAUUCGAUUCAAUAGUCAAGAAUCUGUAUGCUUUGCUAUUUUCUGCAUAGCCUAAAAAUACACAUUCAAUUCCUCUUUCACCCAAUUUCUUUCUUUUUGGUUCAGGCACUUUCACAAUUGCUCUACAACCCCAAACUUUCAAAUAAUUAAGAGUAAACUUUCUUUGUUUCCAAAGUUCAUAUGGGGUUAUUUUGUUCCUUUUGUUUGGAACCCUAUUGAGGAUGUAACAUGUUGUUAGCAUUGCUUCACCCCAAUAUCCUUUAGAUAAUCCAGAAUAGGACAACAUGGCAUUAACCAUUUCUACCAAAGUUCUAUUCUUCCUUUCUGCUAUUCCAUUUUGUUGUGGGGUGUAUGGUGCAGUUACUUGAUGCACAAUACCAGUGGAUUCAAAAUAACUCGGAUGAUGGAACUCUCCUCCCCUAUCACUUCCAAAGCAUUUAAUGAAAGUUUCAUGUUGAAGUUCUACUUGUGCUUUAAAUAUUUUGAAUUUAUCUAAAACUUCAUCUUUUGAAUGCAUUAAAUAAACAUAACAAAAUCGAGUGCAAUCAUCAAUGAAAGUAGCAAAAUACUUUUUACCACCAAUGGUGGGCCAACCAUGUAAAUCACAUACAUCUGAAUGAAUUAAAUCUAGCACCCUAGAACUUCUUUUAACACUUUUAAAAGGUUGUCUUGUAAUUUUAGUCAACAUGCAAGUAGUAUAUGAAUCAAAAUUUUUAUCAAAAUUAGGAAUUAGAUUUGAUUUCAUCAUAUCCUCCAAUUUUCUAAAAUUAACAUGUCCCAAUCGCAUAUGCCAUAAAUCACAAGACUCAACAAUAUAAGCAGAAAUCAUAUUAUUAUUAUUAUUAUUAAUAUUUGCAACAUUACAUUUGAACAUAUUCUCACACAAAUAUCCCUUUCCUACAAACACCCCCCCCCCCCCCCCCCCCCCCCCUUUGAGAGGAUAAAUUUAUCUCCCUCAAAUACAGAUUUGAACCCAUUCUUAUUAAGUAAUGGUACAGAAAUCAAGUUCUUCCUAACUUCAGGAACAUAAAAUACAUCUUUUAAGAGUAAGUGUUUUUCCAGAAGUGAAUUCAAUCUCUAUGGUCCCUUUUCCUUGAACUUGCACAAUUGAAUCAUUUCCCAUGUACAAAACACUCACAUCUUUAUUGAUGGUCUUGAACAUUUUCUUGUUUUUGCACACAUGGCGAGUAGCACCAGAGUCUAUCCACCAUGAAUCAACAUCUUCAAUCAUGUUGAUUUCAGAAAUGACCGCAACAAAAUCAUCAUUUGUUGCCCUUGAAUUCUUUUCUUUGUUCUUCUUUUUAAAGAACCUGCAUUCAUUCUUGAAGUGUCCUUCUUUCCCACAAAAGUAACAUUCACCUUUCCUUUUCUUUUUGUUGUUAUUACCAUUGUGGUUAUGAUGAGACUUAUCAUUUUCAUGAUUUCUCUUUUUGGAAGAUUUGCUUGAAUUUCCUUCUUCCAUAACAUGAACCUUCUCUUGAGUAACAUGAUUCUUAAUACCUUCUUGUUUUCGGUAUUCUUCUUCUAAACGAAGGUGAUUGCCAAGUUGCUCAAGAGAAAUGUCUUCCUUCUUAUGUUUCAUGGUUCGUUUGAAAUCUUUCCAAGAAGGAGGAAGUUUGUCAAUUAUGGAUGAUACAAUAAUUGUUUCAUCUAUAUUCAUGUUAUGUUGUUUGUAGUUGUUAAGAAUACGUUCAAUCUCAUAUAAUUGUUCCAUAACAGACUUAUUAUCUACCAUUUUGUAAUUAUUAAAAUGAGAGACAAGGAAUUUCUUACUUGUUGCAUCUUCACGCAUGUAUCUGGUUUCCAAUUUGUCCCAUAAGUCUUUUGCAGAAGGGCUGCUCUGGUAGAUAUCGAACAAAGAGUCAGACAUACCAUUCAGGAUGUGUCCUAAGCAGAUGUAAUCAUCGUUGUCCCAUUUCUGUCUGUCUCUUGUCUCAGCAACGGUUUCAUCAUCCUUCUCCUCAGGCCUUGCCAUGUUCAGAACGUAUGCCACUUUCAAUGUUGUAAGAAGAAACUUCAUCUUCUUUUGCCAGCGGAUGAAAUUUCCCCCAUCAAACUUUUCCAACUUAACAAAGUCAGAAGUCAUUUCUUUCAAUGAAGCAGCCAUAGAAAUCGAACCUAAAGAUUGUUAUAUAUCUUGUUUGUUGGGAAGAGGCUGCUGCACUUGAAACCUGGAAUGUUUAAUGAUCAUGCAUGUAAAACUCAAAGCGUAUGGGGUUGCCACACUAACCUUUAGGUUCGAUUCGCCCCCACCAAUAAAUGUAUAUUGGAUGCAAUAGGAAUGACCGACGAAUCCCCUUCAGGAUACUAUGAGUUCCUUAACGUGUAUUGCACAACCACACCAAGCGUAUCUCCUAACAGUAUUUUACAGAUUUAUGGUUCCAGCAAUUCACUCAUGCAUUAAAGAAUUGAUGGAUGAUUUAGAAUAAUAGAAUGGUGAAGAAUUAUGUUGUUAAUGUAACAAAAUUCUAUCCAAAUUGUGUGUAGUUGUGUGGUUUUUUGUAUCUUCAACUAAUGCCCAAAUGUCAAGCAUUUAUAGUGCAUUAUAUGACUCUUCACAUGAGAGAAAGCACCUCUUUAACUUGAAUCAAUGCCAUGAUUCAUUAAGCACCCUUUUGCCAAAGGUUAUAACCAUAUAUACUUGAAUCAAUGUCAUGGUUCAUUAUUAAUAAUAAAUAAUAAUGUUCCAAUGUAUAUGAAUGGUUCCCAUGAAGAGUUACAACUUUUGGUUCUAAAGUGAUUCCAUUAUUUUGGAAAUCACCAACAACAAAUAACUGAAUUUUUGCUGUAUAAGAUCAUGAGUGAAACCUGGGAGAUUAACAUUUCUCUAAGGCUUAAGAUUAUUGCUUCCCGGAAAUUUAAUUAUUAAUAUCAUGCAUAUAACUUUAUGAAUUGAUCCAUAAAACUGCGACAGUGACACAAACAUACAAUGAAAGAUUAACAUAA